GCCGUGGAAGGUUGGACAUGAUGACUAGGAGAAUUUGGCUAAUUGCUUGGAGGGCCGCAUGGGUACACGUUGCCUAUAAAUUAAUAGUCUUUGGUGUCAUCUGAGGUGAUGUUCCCAGUGAGAGGCAACGUGGCAUCCAUUUUAUAUUGAGGGUGGCGGGUUCCCAGCACAAAGUGUUGCGGAUUGGGAUUUAUUUUGAUGUAUUUUGAUUAUUUUGAAGAUUUUGUAGACACGACAAGACAUGGAGUUAUUCCUGUAAAUUAUUGUAUUAAGUACAAGAUGGUUGUAAUUUUGUUGGUUCACUGGAGGUGAACUGUUGGCCGCCGCACUGACUGCCAGUUUUAAGAAUUACUAUACAGGAGAUAAGUUUUCUCACACAAUUAAUCAGCAAACUUUUUUCAUGAAACAGGUCGUACUUUCUUUAUUAUUUCUAAGCCGGUUUUCAGAAAUUAACUUAAGGUUAAGAUUUAAACUUAAAUUUAGUUAUUAAAUAUCAAUGGUGGCGUUAACUUAUUAGCAUACAUAGAACUCACAGGUUAUACCACUGAGCUAGAUUAAAUAUAGGGACAUGUAUGUAAUAGUAAGAUUAUAAUUUGCAUUAGAAAGUGAAUGUUUAAAGAUACCUAACCAUAGUACAUAUAUAUAAACAACUGUAUUCUGGAUACCUCAGUUGAAUUUGAUUCCUAUUUG